GAAGAGACUAGAGGAACCUGGAAGUUAUGAUGAUAGAAAAAGACCUGGACGAAAGAGAGUUACUACAAAAGCAGAGGAUAAACAUAGCAUUGUCACUAGUAAGAGAGAUCGGCGAAAGACAGCACCACAAAUAAGGGAGGAGAUCAACAUGACAAGGUCGAAACCUAUAUCUCUGACAACCGUGAAAAGACGUUUGAGAAAGGCUGGUCUGAAGAGUUGUGUAUCUGCAAAAAAACACUACUUCAUCCACAGAACAAGAAAAAGAGAUAUGAGUGGGCAAAAGCUCACAAAAAUUGGACUUAUAAUGACUAGAAACAAGUUUGUACUGUUUGGUUCAAAACGCAGAGUCUAUUUCUGCAGACAAACUGGUGAACGUCUGAAAGCACCAUGUGUUACACCCACUAUUCAGCAUGGAGGUGGUAGUUCCAUGGUAUGGAGAUGUUUUGCAGGUGAUGGAGUAGAAGAUUUGUUUGAAGUAAAGGGUAUCAUGAAGAAGGAACAGUACCACUCCAUCCUCCAGCACCAUACUGUUCCAUCUGGACUCAGACUUGUGGCUCAUAAGUUUGUUUUGCAACAAGACAAUGACCCUAAGCACUCUGCCAAGCUCUGUCAGGGUUACCUAGACAAAAUAAGAAGAGGAAGGAGUUCUUCAAAAUGGGUUGCCCACCUCAGUCUCCAGACCUUUCUCCAACUGAUCUUGUGCGGGAUGAAUUGGGUCAAUCGGUCAGAAAAAUGCAUCCCACGAAUCAGAAGUCUCUUUUUAAUGAACUGAAGAAAGCUUGGAAUGUAAUCCCUGGAACAUACCUUAAAAACAAGAGCAUAGGUUUGGUCUCAACAUUGGAAGGGACGAUAUAAUAAGACCAAACUGAUUCGGUGAAUGGGAGACAGGGCUACAUUUCUCACGAAUAUGAACCUCAUGAAUUGUUAGGCUAAAUGACCAUGGCAAAAUAAAUCUUUAUUGACGUAAAAAGUCGUAGUCAUCAGUGUCUAGUCAUCAGCCAAUCAAACAUGCGUUUGAGGGAAAAAAAAAUGGACCGGCACAUUCAACAAGUGAAAAGGGGUAAAUGUAAGUCAGAACAUAAUGAAAAUAAUUCACUUAAUAAUGGUAGGGUCAAUUCUAUCCUUACAAAAUAUGGGAAGACAAUCUAAAUUACCUAUAUAAUUGCACUCAUUAUAUAAUGCAAAUAAGGUUGCUUAAAAGUUGGUGGGGACAAUUUGAGCACCCUGAAAAGUUGGUAGUGUUAUGUCCCUACUGUCCCUAUGCAAACCUUGUGGAGACUUGUGGAACAAAUGCCUGGUACUUGCCAAGAUGUUGUUAAAACCAGUGGAGGUUAUUUUAAAGAAAGCAAAGUCUAAGCAACAAUAACUCAAAUACCUAAUAAUUAUAGUCCAAACGUCUUCUGAUAAGUUACUCUUUACAUAAUAGUCAGGUUUAUUGUGUUGCAAAUGAUAUAUAUGAAACUAUGAUCUUUUUUUGUACAAAUGUGAUCUUGCUUCCAAACUUUUGGCCUGCAGUGUAGGCCAGAUGAACGCGACCUGAGCGUCCACACUGCAGUCACAUCUGAUACAUAUCCGAUUUAUAUCCACAUACAAAAGAGGCCUGGGUCGGAUUUGAAAAAAUCAGAAUUGCACUUUUCACACUUACAUGAAAAAAUCAGAUAUGUGUCACAUAUGGUUAAAAAAUCGGAAUCGACCUGCAGUGUAAACAUAGCCAUAGUCUCCAGACAGGGCUCGACAGUGCACUCGCAUUUGCGACUAAAAAUAGAUGUGUGCGAAUUGUAAAAUGAAUUUUAGGGUACAUGUGUGCAAAAAAAAAAAAAAAAUCAGCCGAGGCAACAAAUGUUUUUUCAUGUAAAUGCCGCGGUGAAGUUAGUUUUAGGUUGGAUAUUUGACGGACAUUCACUGCGGAUCUACCAGUAUCUUCUCACUCUCCAUAACAGGGAAUAGCAACAGCAGCGUGGUUAAACCUACUCGGCACCCUCGCUGUCAACGUCAGGUGUUGAAUAAGGGACCAUCAAUAAAUUACCGGUUGAUGUUCUUAUAAAAGGCUGUUUUUCUUCAAAAGCUUCCAUGUCAUGUAACCAAUUGACCUAAAAUCGAUUUAAAUAAUAAUACUAAGGUCGGACAAUAAAACACACUCUUUAUUUCCCUAAUUUGUCCUUUAAAAAUGUUUUUGUUAAAUUUAAAGGCAAAUUCUGAACAUUUUCUUCAAUAGCUUCCAUGUCAUGUGACCAAAAGACCUAAAAUUGAUUUGAAAUAAUAAUACUUAUGUCAACCAAUAAGGCAAACAUUAUUUGACCACAUUUUAUUGUGCCCCUUAAGUUUUUUUGUGUGCUCCUUACUUUUUCAACUAAUGAGAACAUGUGAAAAAAAUUUGUGUCAAGCCCUGCCAGAUUAUAAAAGUUGUACGUGGGCAGGACAGAAUGUAAAUUCACGGGAAUAUAUCCUAAUUUUUCACAAAUGACGUUUUAGGAUUUUAAAAAAAAGUAAUAAGAAGCAUGAAAGAGUCUGAAAUUUUGAAAACUGAAGUUGUUACAUUUUGUAGUAAAGUCACAAGAUUAAGAAAGUAACAGUUAUUGUAUUGAAAAAGUUGUGAAGUCAAAAAGAUAAAAGUUUAAACUUGUGAGACUACAGUUGUAAUAUUUCAGUGAUUAAAUUAUUUAAGUAUGAGAUUAAAAAAAAAGUUGUAAAUUCAAAAAGAAAAAGUGUAACUUUGUGAAAAUAGGUCAUAUUUUGGAGUCAUAAUAACAUUAACAACCAUGGUGCCUGACAGUUAAACUGCUGUUUACUCAUUUAAGCCUUUCGGUGACAUCUUCUUCCUGCAUCAUCACAGUUACAGUCAUAGUGAACAUCUGCACAUGAAAAAACAGGGUGACAACAUUUGACCUUUAAAAAUAAACAAAAAAAAACUUUUCGAUAUAAAUCAUCAGCGAGCAGCACGGGAGCACCUGGGUCACGGUGGUUUUAUGAUUGCAGUGUAGUGAGCGGAUGUAGUAUGAGAUGGCGUGAUCACAUGUGAGACCACAACACACACACACACACACACACACACACACACACACACACACACACACACACACACACACACACACACACACACACCAUUAACCAAAUCUGAAUAAAAGUAUUUUAACUGAAAUACCUCUGUGGCUCAUCAUUUGAUAAUCAUGUGGUGCUUUUAAUUUAACAACCCUAAAUGUUGUGUCUACCUGCAAUAUACAGUUGUGCUCAAAAGUUUACAUACCCCGGCACAAUUUUUGCUUUCUUGGCCUUUUUUCAGAGAAUAUGAAUGAUAACACAAAAACUCUUUUUCCACUCAUGGUCAGUGGUUGGGUGAAGCCAUUUAUUGAUAAACAACUGUGUUUUCUAUUUUUAAAUCAUAAUGACAACAAAAGACACCCAAAUGACCCUGAUCCAAAGUUUACAUACCCUAGUUCUUAAAACCGUGUACCGCCCCCUCUAACAUCAAUGACAACUUUGAAGUCUUUUGUGGUAGUUGUGGAUGAGGCUCUUUAUUUUCUCAGAUGGUGAAGUUGCUCAUCUCUCUUGGCAAAAAGCCUCCAGUUCCUGUAAAUUCCCGGUCUGUCUUGCAUGAACUGCAUACUUCAGAUCUCCCCCAGAGUGGCCUUAAUGAUAUUGAGAUCAGGAGACUGAAAUGUCCACUCCAGAACCUUCACUCUGUUCUGCUGUAGCCAAUGACAAGUCAACUUGGCCUUGUGUUUUGGAUCAUUGUCAUGUUGGAACGUCCAAGUACGUCCCAUGCGGAGCUUCAGGGCAGAUGAGUGCAAUUCUUCCUCCAGUAUUUGCUGAUAAUGCACUGCAUUCAUCUUUCCUUCAACUUUGACCAAGUUUCCUGUGCCUUUGUAGCUCACACAUCCCCAAAACAUCAGUGAUCCACCUCCGUGCUUUACAGAAGGAAUGGUGUUCCUUUCAUUAUAGGCCUUGUUGACACCUCUCCAAACAAAACAUUUAUGGUUGUGGCCAAAAAGUUCAAUUUUGGUCUCAUCACUCCAAAUUACCUUGUUCCAGAAGUUUUGAGGCUUGUCUCUGUGCUGUUUGGCAUAUUGUAGGCGACAUACUUUUGACAUACAUGCGUUUGUGCAGUAAUGGCUUUCUUCUGGCGACUUGACCAUGCAACCCAUUUUUGUUCAAGUUCCUCCUUAUUGUGCAUCUUGAAACAGCCACACCGUUAGUUUUCAGAGAGUCCUGUAUUUCAGCAGAUGUUAUUUGUGGGUUUUUCUUUGCAUCCCGAUCAACUUUUCUGACAGUUGUGGCCGAAAUUUUUGUUUGUCUACCUGACCGUGGUUUGGUUUUAACAGAGCCCCUGAUUUUCCAUGUCUUAAUCACAGUUUGAGCACUGCUGACUGGCAAUAGCGAUUCCUUGGAUAUCUUUUUGUAUCCCUUUCCUGUUUUAUACAGUUCAACUACCUUUUCCCGUAGAUCCGUUGACAAUUCUUUUGCUUUCCCCAUGACUCAGAAUUCAGAAACGUCAGUGGCUGGAUGAAAGAUACAAGAGUCUGUCUGGAUCCCAGAAACUCACACAGCUUUUAUGCACGCACACUGAUUACAAGCAAACAGAUCACAGAUCACAGGUGAGGAUGGUUACCUUUAGUAGCCAUUCAAACCCAUUUGUGUCAACUUCUGUGCAUGUUAUCAGGCCAAAAUCACCAGGGUAUGUGAACUUUUGAUCAGGGUCAUUUGGGUAAUUUUUGUUGUCAUUAUGAAUUAAAAUGAGAAAACACAGUUUUUUGACAGUAAAUGGUUUCACCCAACCAAUAAGCAUGAGUAGAAAAAGAGUUUUUGUGUUAUCAGUCACAUUCUCUUAAAAAAUGGCCAAAUAAUCAUAGAUUCUGCCAGGGUAUCUUAACUUAUGAGCACAACUGUAUAUAUUAACACUGUUUAGCUGCCCCAAUCCUCAGCUAUUCGCUGCAGUAGUAACGGAGACAACAAAGGCCUCCGUUACAGAGUCCACUACACUCUGAAGAGACUAGAGGAACCUGGAAGUUAUGAUGAUAGAAAAAGACCUGGAUGAAAGAGAGUUACUACAAAAGCAGAGGAUAAACAUAGCAUUGUCACUAGUAAGAGAGAUCGGCGAAAGACAGCACCAAAAAUAAGGGAGGAAAUCAACAUGACACGGUCGAAACCCAUAUCUCUGACAACGGUGAAAAGACGUUUGAGAAAGGCUGGUCUGAAGGGUUGUGUAUCUGCAAAAAAACACUACUUCAUCCACAGAACAAGAAAAAGAGAUAUGAGUGGGCAAAAGCUCACAAAAAUUGGACUUAUAAUGACUAGAAACAAGUUUGUACUGUUUGGUUCAAAACGCAGAGUCUAUGUCCGCAGACAAACUGAUGAACGUCUGAAAGCACCAUGUGUUACACCCACAAUUCAGCAUGGAGGUGGUAGUGUCAUGGUAUGGAGAUGUUUUGCAGGUGAUGGAGUAGGAGCUUUGUUUGACAUAAAGAGUAUCAUGAAGAAGGAACAGUACCACUCCAUCCUCCAGCACCAUACUGUUCCAUCUGGACUCAGACUUGUGGCUCAUAAGUUUGUUUUCCAGCAAGACAAUGACCCUAAGCACUCUGCCAAGCUCUGUCAGGGUUACCUAGACAAAAAAGACGAGGAAGGUGUUCUUCAAAAGAUGGUUUGGCCCCCUCAGUCUCCAGACCUUUCUCCAAC
rnacentral:lncRNA from 1 species